UCAUUGUAGCAAUACAAGGCGGACGGCUCAGUAACACGUAGUCAACCUAACUCGUGGACGUGGAUAACCUCGGGAAACUGAGAAUAAACCACGAUAGAUCAUAGUGCCUGGAAUGGCUUAUGGUCCAAACAGUUUACUGCCAUGGGAUGGGACUGCGGCCUAUCAGCUUGUUGGUGAGGUAAUGGCCCACCAAGGCGAUUACAGGUACGGGCUCUGAGAGGAGUAGCCCGGAGAUGGGUACUGAGACACGGACCCAGGCCCUAUGGGGCGCAGCAGGCGAGAAACCUUAGCAAUGUGCGAAAGCACGACUGGGUCAGUCCGAGUGAUUCCUGAUAAAGGAGUCUUUUACCUGUCCUAAAAGCACAGGUGAAUAAGGGGUGGGCAAGUCUGGUGUCAGCCGCCGCGGUAAUACCAGCACCUCGAGUGGUCAGGACGUUUAUUGGGCCUAAAGCAUCCGUAGCCGGCUCUGCAAGUCUUCGGUUAAAUCCACCUGCUCAACAGAUGGGCCGCUGGAGAUACUACAGAGCUAGGGAGUGGGAGAGGCAGACGGUAUUCAGUGGGUAGGGGUAAAAUCCUCUGAUCCAUUGAGGACCACCAGUGGCGAAGGCGGUCUGCCAGAACACGUCCGACGGUGAGGGAUGAAAGCUGGGGGAGCAAACCGGAUUAGAUACCCGGGUAGUCCCAGCUGUAAACGAUGCAAACUCGGUGAUGCAUUGGCUUAUGGCCAAUGCAGUGCCGCAGGGAAGCCGUUAAGUUUGCCGCCUGGGAAGUACGUACGCAAGUAUGAAACUUAAAGGAAUUGGCGGGGGAGCACCACAAGGGGUGAAGCCUGCGGUUCAAUUGGAUCAACGCC
rnacentral:rRNA from 1 species